GGAAUAUUGCACAAUGGGCGAAAGCCUGAUGCAGCGACGCCGCGUGAGGGAUGACGGCCUUCGGGUUGUAAACCUCUUUCAGUAGGGAACAAGGCCAGGCAUUGUCUGGUUGAGGGUACUUGCAGAAGAAGCGCCGGCUAACUACGUGCCAGCAGCCGCGGUAAUACGUAGGGCGCAAGCGUUAUCCGGAAUUAUUGGGCGUAAAGAGCUCGUAGGCGGUUUGUCGCGUCUGCCGUGAAAGUCCGGGGCUCAACUCCGGAUCUGCGGUGGGUACGGGCAGACUAGAGUGAUGUAGGGGAGACUGGAAUUCCUGGUGUAGCGGUGAAAUGCGCAGAUAUCAGGAGGAACACCGAUGGCGAAGGCAGGUCUCUGGGCAUUAACUGACGCUGAGGAGCGAAAGCAUGGGGAGCGAACAGGAUUAGAUACCCGGG
rnacentral:rRNA from 1 species